rnacentral:rRNA from 1 species
GAUGAACGCUGGCGGCGUGCCUAAUACAUGCAAGUCGAGCGAACAGACGAGGAGCUUGCUCCUCUGACGUUAGCGGCGGACGGGUGAGUAACACGUGGAUAACCUACCUAUAAGACUGGGAUAACUUCGGGAAACCGGAGCUAAUACCGGAUAAUAUAUUGAACCGCAUGGUUCAAUAGUGAAAGACGGUUUUGCUGUCACUUAUAGAUGGAUCCGCGCCGCAUUAGCUAGUUGGUAAGGUAACGGCUUACCAAGGCAACGAUGCGUAGCCGACCUGAGAGGGUGAUCGGCCACACUGGAACUGAGACACGGUCCAGACUCCGACGGGAGGCAGCAGUAGGGAAUCUUCCGCAAGGGGCGAAAGCUUGACGGAGCAACGCCGCGUGAGUGAGGAAGGUCUUCGGAUCGUAAAACUCUGUUAUUAGGGAAGAACAAAUGUGUAAGUAACAAUGCACGUCUGGACGGUACCUAAUCAGAAAGCCACGGCUAACUACGU